rnacentral:rRNA from 1 species
GGCUCAGAACGAACGCUGGCGGCGCGUUUAAGCAUGCAAGUCGAGCGGCAAGGGCCUUCGGGCCCCUAGAGCGGCGGACGGGUGAGUAACACGUGGACAAUCUGCCCCCCUGGCCCGGGAUAGCCCAGGGAAACCUGGAUUAAUACCGGAUGAGACGGGACCCGCGAUGGCGGGAUCCGGGAAAGGCGCUGCGGCGCCGCCGGGGGAUGAGUCUGCGUCCCAUUAGCUAGACGGCGGGGUAACGGCCCACCGUGGCGACGAUGGGUAGCCGGCCUGAGAGGGUGGACGGCCACAUUGGAACUGAGACACGGUCCAGACUCCUACGGGAGGCAGCAGCUAAGAAUCUUCCGCAAUGGGCGAAAGCCUGACGGAGCGACGCCGCCGUGAACGAAGAAGGCCGUGAGGUUGUAAAGUUCUUUUCGGGAGGGGGAACAACCGUGGCAGGGAAUGGCCGCGGGAUGACGUGAAUCCCGGAAUAAGCCCCGGCUAACUACGUGCCAGCAGCAGC